GAUCGGGAUGGGGUCGGGAUCGAGGCCGGGACCGGAAUAGCGGUCAGAGUUGGGAUUGGCAUAUGGGAAUCGGGAUCAGGAGCCCAGUAUCUGUCCCCGGCCAGGAUCAGGAGCAGCGUGUCCGGCAGGAGCGGCGAUUGUCCCUCAGUCCCUUGUGUCCCGUUCGGACUCCUCAGUCCACGGAGGACAUUUUGGGGCUGAAGCGUGUCCAGGGAAGGGAGCAGAGCUGGGGAAGGGGCUGGAGAGUCCUGAGGGAGCUGGGAAUGGACUGGAGAAUCCUGAGGGAGCUGGGGAAGGGGCUGGAGAGUCCUGAGGGAGCUGGGAAGGGGCUCAGCCUGGAGAAAAGGAGGCUCAGGGGGAAUUCCUGGCUCUGCACAACUCCCUGGCAGGAGGGGACAGCCGGGGGGAUUUGGGAUCUCAUCCCAGGGCACAGGGACAGGAGGAGAGGGAACGGCCUCAGGCUGUGCCAGGCGAGGCUCAGCUUGGACAGCAGCAGGAAUUUCCUCAUGGAAAGGGCGCUCAGGCCUGGGAAGUACCCAGGGAGGUUUGGAGUGCCCAGGGCUGGAGGUGUCACCUGGAGGUGGCACUGAGUGCUCCGGGUGGGAACAAAGUGGGGAUCAGGCCCAGCUUGGGCUCGGAUGAACUUUCCCAAAGUCUUUUCUGACCUCAAUGCUUUUGGGAUUUUACGAUUGCGGGAACCCGCCGGUGAACCUGGGGCCGUUUGCCGCCGGGGUCUGGGUGGCUCGGAACUUAACGGACGUCGACCCGAUGGCCCCGCAGCCCGUCCCGUAGCAGGAAGGAGUCGGAGCCACCAGGAGGAGAGCUCGCCCUCCCACCAGGAUCGGAGCUGUGGGGCUGCUCAGAUCCCCCCUGGAGCUGGUCAGAUCACCCCUGUCCUGCCUGGAGCAGUGACAGGGACAAAAGGGAGCUUAGUUUCCCAUCCAUCCGUUCCUUCCUUCGGGAAUUGUUUCCUCAAGGAUGUGCGUGGAAUUUCCUCCUGUGCCCUCUACCCCCAGAUGUUUAUUAAAGUUUAUGGAAUAACAACAUAGCCCACUGAAA